rnacentral:lncRNA from 10 species
GACCUGCACCAAGGCCGCCAGCGCGAAGAAGGCGGCCAUGAGUCCGUUGCAGGCCCGCCACAGCGCUGGCGCCAUGGCUCGGAGAACACGGCGCGGGGCGGUGAGUCCUGCCACGUGCGGGGCGGCCCCUAAGGUAAAAGCCUUGCUCCAAGUCCCCUUCUGACUUCUAGUCACUUCCGUGCUGCCAGCAGAGGGCGUGGGAUUCUUCCUGAGGAGCCUGAGUCUCAGCUUUGCCAGGUCCUUGCUGUGUGACCUUGGGCACCUGUGCUCCCUUGACAAAGAGGAAUAAAACCUCUUCAGACUACUCUCCUAUCGAUUCUCUCCUGGAACAUAUGACCACCAUCAAUUAUAGGCAAGAACAUGAACACGGGAGUCCCAAAGACUUGGGUUCAAAUGUCAGCCCCUUCACUCGCUGGCUGUAGGUGUGAGGCCCUGGCUCCUGUGGGGCUAUUGCAGAGGAGAAACUUCUGGAACAGAGAGCUCCUUGUCCAGGGAUGCUGCAUCUGGGUGAGCUGCUCCUUGGAUAUGGUGCAAGUGUGGCCAGGGUGUGGUGUGGAAGGAGCAGAAGUCUUCAGGACUGAAUCUGGAUGGACCACUGUGAC